rnacentral:rRNA from 1 species
GGUUGCGAUCAUACCAGCACUAAUGCACCGGAUCCCAUCAGAACUCCGCAGUUAAGCGUGCUUGGGCGAGAGUAGUACUAGGAUGGGUGGCCCCCUGGGAAGUCCUCGUGUUGCAACCC